UCCAAAUCAUGUCCAAUCAAUUUAAUGUACCAACGUGGGUGGACUCUAAUCAAGCUGUAGAAACAUCAAGGAUGAUCAAUGGAAACAGGAUGUCUGAAUGCUUUGUUUGUGCUUUGUCAUUAUGAGGUCAUAAUGUGUAGAUUAAUGGGGAUGUUUUGUUGUAUUAAUCCAGGUAGGUAUUAUGUGUAGAUUAAUGGGGAUGUUUUGUUGUAAUUAAUCCAGGUAGGUAUUAUGUGUAGAUUAAUGGGGAUGUUUUGCUGUAGUAAUCCAGGUAGGUAUUAUGUGUAGAUUAAUGGGGAUGUUUUGCUGUAUUAAUCCAUUGUAGAAUUAGUCUGUAACGUAACAAAAUGAAAAAGUCGAGGGGUCUGAAUACUUUGCGAGAUUUACUUUGUAAAUGCUUUUUGAUGUUGAUAACUGAUAGGUGCCUCCUGCCAAAAUGUUUUUUCAUGUAUUCAAAGAGUUGACAUGGCAGCUUCCUACUCUGCCAUAGGAUACC